rnacentral:rRNA from 1 species
GAUGAACGCUGGCGGCGUGCCUAAUACAUGCAAGUCGAGCGAACGGACGAGAAGCUUGCUUCUCUGAUGUUAGCGGCGGACGGGUGAGUAACACGUGGAUAACCUACCUAUAAGACUGGGAUAACUUCGGGAAACCGGAGCUAAUACCGGAUGAUAUUUUGAACCGCAUGGUUCAAAAGUGAAAGACGGUCUUGCUGUCACUUAUAGAUGGAUCCGCGCUGCAUUAGCUAGUUGGUAAGGUAACGGUUUACCAAGGCAACGAUGCAUAGCCGACCUGAGAGGGGGAUCGGCCACACUGGAACUGAGACACGGUCCAGACUCCUACGGGAGGCAGCAGUAGGGAAUCUUCCGCAAUGGGCGAAAGCCUGACGGAGCAACGCCGCGUGAGUGAUGAAGGUCUUCGGAUCGUAAAACUCUGUUAUUAGGGAAGAACAUAUGUGUAAGUAACUGUGCACAUCUUGACGGUACCUAAUCAGAAAGCCACGGCUAACUACGUG